UGCUUUAUGGUAUCUUUUUUGUUUUUUUUUUUCCUAAAAGCGCGGCAUAUUUAUGCAUAUACAUGACUUUACAACUGCAAUUGUACAUGCAGGAUUCUUAAUGUGGGAACCUGGAAAGAAGCCACCGCUGUCUGUCAGACAGAAAUCUGUUUCAUCGUAAACCUCCUCAUAAACACUUAAUGCCAAGAUCAACAGGUUAUUAUGCUGGUUGAAAAGCAUUUUUAAAAUUUAAAGAAAUUAGUAUAUACUGAC